rnacentral:sRNA from 1 species
GUAAUCCUGCUGGCGCAGUAUUCUAGUCAGUUUUCGCCGACCCGAAGGCGGGGGUAAAAUAUCGCCGAAGGGCAUAUCGAUGAAGUUCCUUGUGAUGGCUUCGGUUGCCCAAACCGGGGCUUUUGCUGGGAGUUAAGACUUGCGGGCGGCUCGUAACGGCAUACGAACCCCGACCCGCUUGUCGCGGAGACCCGAUGCGGUGGAGGUUUCUCCCUCUACUGCACGGGGUGGAAACCUGUAAUGCGGUGUCGCAAGGCGCUGUGUUCAGUGUAGCCUGCCUUGAGUGGUCCUGCAGGGAUAGGGGAACUACGUUUGCUUAGGUUGGCCGACCGACGCGGGCGAUCGCCCCUUGAAAUGAGGGCUGCAAAAAAGGAUAAGGGCGGACGGGAACUGCCAAGGAAAUCUUCUAGACUGUUCUGUGUAGACAGCCUGGGGAUUAUAGUGUGCACUAAGUGGCGAUUCGGUUGUGCAGUGAGAAAUCCUGCAUCUCGCGGAGUAAUCGGAAACAUCUCGCACGGCGACGGCGAGUUUCCGCGGGGGGAAAACCUACCGAACCUAAGGCGCAAGGUUUACCCGGGCUGUUGCCAG